rnacentral:rRNA from 1 species
GGGGGGGGCGGGGGGGGGGCGGGGGGCGGGCGGGUCGGGCGGUGCGGCGCGAGCGGGCGGGGGGGGAGCAGUGGCGAGCGGGUGAGGCGCGCGUGAGCAACCCGCCCCUGGCGCUGGAAUCAGCGCCGCACGCGGCGUCUCAUACUGGAUACGCGAAGGGUCCGCCUGGGCGCUUUCUGGUCCGUUUUUCGGUUGGGGAUGGGCUCGCGGCCUACCUGCUUGUUGGUGAGGUAAUGGCUCCCCACGGCGACGACGGGUCGCCGGCCGGGGGGGGCCACCGGCCACACGGGGACUGAGACACGGCCCGGACUCCUACGGGAGGCAGCGGUGGGGAAUAUUGCACACUGGGCGAAAGCCUGAGGCAGCGACGCCGCGUGGGGGAUGCCGGCCUUCGGGUGGUAAACCUCUUUCAGCGGGGAAGAAGCGAAAGUGACGGUACCUGCAGAAGAAGCACCGGCUAACUACGUG